rnacentral:tRNA from 1 species
UGUGGUAUAGCUCAACCCGGAUAGAGCGCCCUCAGCAGAGGGAGGUGAGCACUAAUCAAGGUUCAUAACCCAGAUUAUCUCAUGCGGACCGGCCGGACGUUAUGCGGGUUCAAAUCCCGCUGCCACAA